UAAUCAGGAAAACCAACCCAAUAUUCCCCAUGUCUGAAAGCAUCCAUAGCAGUCUUUUCCAUGUUAUUGCAAAUGGCUUUUUUUCCGGAAGCAAAUAACAUGGAAAUGUGCUAUACAGUGGUACCUCGGGUUACAUACGCUUCAGGUUACAUACUCCGCUAACCCAGAAAUAGUGCUUCAGGUUAAGAACUUUGCUUCAGGAUGAGAACAGAAAUGGUGCUCCGGCGGCGUGGCGGCAGCAGGAGGCCCCAUUAGCUAAAGUGGUGCUUCAGGUUAAGAACAGUUUCAGGUUAAGUACCGACCUCCGGAACGAAUUAAGUACUUAACCCGAGGUACCACUGUACUCCACUGUAUUUCCAGAAGCAGCUUUUCAAUCAUGUAAAAACUCAAAUUCAAUGCAGAAAUUAACUGCUAGGGAAAUGUUGGGUAAAUGGAAUAAACUGUUGUGAGGCUGCAACCCAGGUGAGUGCCUGUUAACUUCACAGCUUCCUUGCACUUUGAAAGGAGGUAGCAGAAGCCCCUGUGAUGAUGAUUUGAGUGAUGCGGCAGCAUUCCCAUGCAUGGUAUGGAAAAAGAUGGUUUCCUGCAUGGGUCCUGACUAAUAUUCUGCAAGGAAAAAUGUACUGUGAGUUACCACUGUAUUGUUACCAUAGUGCCAUUUAAGAUGGCAGAUUGGGGCUUAUAUGAUUCAAUACUUCUUCAUACCCACCCCCCUCAAAAAAGAGAUUUCUGUGUGUACAAAAUUGGAUGUCAGUGAAAAGGGUACUUAUGUGGUCUUUUAUCUGACAUACUAGUUUUCUAUGUGGAGGGAGGUUAUUUUGAUUCUGUUUUGUAUGAGGGAAGACUACAAUCAUGUGCGCUGUAACCUGUAAUCUGAAGUGUUAUAGUCCAGAGAUAGGUUCACCACCUUGCCUUUUGUUUAUGGGGACUAAGCUUCAGUAAGAGGCCUCAUUGCAAACACAAUUUUAUUUGAGCUUUUAUAUCAAGAGUGGCCGGGGUGCGGGGAUGACUCAGUAAUACUAAGUGGUGCCAUAAAUCUUGCUGAUGUUGCCAAGUUAAUAGCAAGACUGUAGUCUCCAACCUGUAUCGAGAUGGGUUCAGAUACUGAUUUGCCAUCAGAUCUUUCAAGUCUGACUCACGCAGGAAGUUCUAUUAUAGUGAAUGUCAAAACCUGAGCUACUGAGAAUUUCUCACGGCAUAAUAGCAAUGCAGGAACUUGAUCUGGAUGACAAAUGAAAAUUGUAGUUUGUGAUCUCAUACAAGUUCUAUGCUGUUAUCUGUAAACUUUUCCUGGAAACUUCACUCAUAUGCCAGAGGAGGUAUCAUAGAAGCAGAAUGCAGGUUGCUAGAAGUCUCUGCACAAAAACAACAUGGUCUCCCCCAUUGUUUCUUCCAGUCCCAUGAUGUUGAUAUAGGAUGAGUUAGGACUGUCCUCAGCAUGGCUGCUGAUCAGUCAUCUAGGCAUUGCACAUGCCACCGGAGAUGGUUCUCCCUUUAUGUGGAGUGGCUGCCUCAGGUGGCAGAUCCUGGGGUGAUAGGCUGACAACUUGUGCACUGCCAAAAAGGGGGGAAAAUUCAUCACAGAAACAGAGGACACAGUUUUGCAUAAAAUAUACAUAUGUUUGUGUGUGUGUGUGUGUGUGUGUGUGUGUAAAUUCAAAUUUACAAAUAAUUACUGCAAUUUCAGUAAGAUUAAAAAUUAAGAUCUCCAGGCUGCUCAGCUUCUGUGGAAUGGAGACACCAUCUUCUCUUUUGCCUCAGGCAGCAAAAUAUCUCGCAACUCACAGGGAUGAGUAUCCCUCAUGUUGAAUUGCCCAUUUAGAGAACCUACCAUGUAACUUAAGGCCAUCAUGCCACACUUCCCUACCCUUUGCCAGAUGGUGAAUGCCAUGGAAUUGGACUGCAGGUGAAGAAAUCCACAUGAUGGGCUUGCCUUGUGCAGUGAGAUAUGACUGGGGUUGGUGGAGAAUCAGCCAGUCUCUGUUGUGGAUGUAACAGCUAGAUUUGUUUUCAACCAUGGUAGUGGAAUGUAUCAUAGCAAAAAAUAUCACCCAGCAGCCUGCUGCAGCAUUGUGACCAUAUAUUAUUGUUGUUAAAAUAGAAAAUAAUUUAAAAAUACACAAUAAUUUAAAAACACAACAAAGCAAUCCAAUUAAAAUAAAGAUACUCAUGAUCAAAUAUGUAGUAAAACAAUCCUGUUAAAACAGCACAGCAAGUAAAGCAGGAAGCUUGGGACAAGAGAGCAAAUCAAUGCCUAUGUAAACAGGUGUGUCUUCAAAAGGCAGUGGAAUGCCAAUAUAGAUGGGCGCCUCUUUUUCAGCAGGGAGUGUAUUCCACAUUACCAGUGUCACCAGUGAAAAUGCCUCUGCACUACCACAAUUAUAACUGGCAUAUUUCAAGUAUAAUAGUAAACAGCUAACUGCAAGACCACAGCUGCAUUCUUGGUGGCUGCUCCCAGACUUUGGAACUCCCUCCAUAGAGAAGUUGACUGGCUCUGUCCUUGUUAUUCUUCUGGGGGCAGGUGAAGACCUAUUAUUCCAAUAGGCUUUGGGGAAGUUUUAAUGAAGGAUCUGGUACUGUGCUGUUUUUAUUGUAAUUUUCCAUAUGUUUUAAAUAAUAUAUAUAAUGUUUAAUUGUUUUUUAACAAUUGUGGUUAGCUGUUCUUAUUUUAUUUGUAAGCUGCUUUGAGUAUCUGUCAGGGGGAAAGGUGGGGUAUUAUUAUUUUUAUUGUUAUUAUUAUUAUUUCUCAUUCAGCAACCAUCACAUCUCAAAUGAGUCAACAUAUUUCAAAAUAGAAGGAAGAUCUAUUGUUACUACACACAGAAAGCACAUGUAUCAAAAAUUUACAAACUCAAGGGACAGAUAAUGUAUGUCAGACAAAGCUUAUUUACUUCUUUCAAGAUUCCCAUUUUACCUUUUAUAUAAAGGAAACAUUCUUAUAUAUGCUUAACUGCCAGAGUAUUAUUCACACAUGUGUUUAUACUUGGUGUGGUGUGGAGGUUCUUCCUCAUUGUAGGAGAAACCCACAUAAUGCUAAAACAUAAAACACCAGUCUUUGUGCGACAACAGUCACUAUGGCUGUACUUGAAAUUCUGCAUUGUUCCAAAUCUCUCCCAAACACCUACAAAAAACCUUCAAUAUCUCAAACACAACUAUGUUCUGGGAAUAAAUCCCUAUUUUUUCCGAAGAAGAAUUUUUGCCUUAACGUGAAGGCCCAUUAUAAAAACAAAAACUUUUGAAACUUUAAAGUUGGACUUUCUGCAUUUUAGUGAAAAUUACUUCCUUUCCCCUUUCUUUCCAUGUGGGGCGGCCCUGCUCUCUGCCUGCCUCUCAGAGUGGGCAGCGCAUAGCGGCUGCUUGUGGAGGAGAAUAGGCAGCAACUGACAAUGCCCAGCCCCAUGUAACAGACUGCAGCCUCUCCUCCUCCUUGCCCUCAAGAUCUCUGGCAGCCGCUACAUGCUGCCCGAAGGCUGGCAGUGGCAGCCAUGGAGAGGCAAUGGGAUGCUUCCUUGCAGCAGUUGCCACUGCCACUUGGGAUAAGCGCCGGCUCACCCUCCUCCCUGAGCUUGACGGCAGCAGCACUGGCGGUGGAAAGAGGGACAUUCUGGGAUUAAGUCAGAAGCUGGGAUGGCUUUCAUAAUUCUGGGACGGUCCCUGGAAAAUCGGGACACCUGGGGGUAUGUAUCCCUCUUUUGUCAUCUUCCGUACUGAGAGGGGCAUUCCUGAAAGACAGCCUAUAAAUACGACUACCACCAAUAGCAUUUGGAUCACAAGCUCCUCGGGCCAGAAUCUCUCUCUUUUGCUUAUGUCACUCAUAAAGCUCUAUGUACACCAACGACACUAAGUAAAUGUAAUAAAUAAUGUAGAGCCCUGUGAAUGCUUGAAUGAAUCAAUCCCAUUGAAAUGUAGCAAGAUGGUUUUGGCAGCAGAUGGGCCCUGUGCGCUGGACUGUAGUGUAUGUGCAAAUCGACUAGGAUAGCCCUAAUUUCCCGCCCUUCCUUCUUGGGCUUGUUGUCAUGGUGACCUGCUGGGAUGGCUGAACCAGGAAUUUUCAGUUCCGUUCCUUUCCUUCUAGGACCUUAACUACCCUUCACUUUGCUUCUGUCUCUGUGUGUUUUGCUUAUAGCUUCCUUGCUCCAGGUAUGUGUUGUAACCAUUGCUCUGCCACUCUAACCAAACCCGAAGCUCAAGACAAUGGCAAUUGAAAUUCCUAGCCCAGGAUGCUCCUCUGACCAGUGGGUUUACCAUCAUUAUCUUUUCUAUGAAGAACAUAUAUCUAUUGCUGUCUUUCUCAUCUUCUGGCUCUAAUCAGACCAGCUCUGAUGGUGGGUCCUGACAGAAACAUUUCUGUCUAUUAGAAAUAUAAGAUUUGUGUUUAUAAACAGCAUUUCCACAUCUUCUCCCGAAUGUGUGCAUCUUUCUUGCAAUACUAGGAUUAGUUUGUACUGUCUAAUGUAGGAAUCUGCCUUGGCUUGUUUCUCUGGAUGAAGAUAAGAAUUGUCUUGCCAAAACACUAGAAAUUCCAUUUCUCAUGCCUUGGUGAUGCUGAUCAAGAAAACUGGUUAUCUGUUGAUUCAUCUUUUUUCUUUUUAUGCUAUUUAAUACAUACAUGAAUUUCUAUCAUUCAUGACUAACGUGCAUUAAUUGCACAUGGUGUAUUCAAAAUAUCUACAAUGUCUAGUGUUGCCAUAUUUCUGUACCAUAGAUAUAGAGCCUGGGGUUAAUAAAUCCAGAUAAUGCCGGACACAGUUUCAUCGUUUAGCAGUUUAGACAUGAAAUCUUGUGCCUGUCUACUCAGCUGCAAGCCCCACUGAAUUUGAUGGGGCUUACUUUGUGUAGUAAUAAUAAUAAUAAUAUUUUUAUUUUUUAAAAUUUAUAUCCCACCCAUCUUGCUGGGUUUCCCAGCCACUCUGGCCGGCUUACAACAUAUAUAAAAACACAACAAGCAUCAAACAUUAAAAAAAAGAUAUCCUAUAUGAGAGAGAAACCAACCAACCAACCAACCAGCCAACCAGCCAACCAACCAACCAACCAACCAGUAAAUCAAUAGAAACCAAUAACAACAAUUAUAGCAACAAUAAUAAACAGUUUACAGUUAUACCCAAAUUAAAAUAACCGCCAACCCCAACUAAACAGUUAACCAACAGCAACCUGACAAAAACAAAACAGAGAAACCAACAUUAGAACCCUUUAAAACAUUUUAAAACAUUUUAGCCAAUUGCCCCAACCCAAGAGUUGUUCCAGCAAUGUCCCUCUGGCCUCCCAGAAGCCUCUUUUAGGAUGGACACAAAGUGGCUUCAAAUCAGUGUGAAGGUAAGUACAUAUAUGCAUCCAUGAAUACAAGG